rnacentral:lncRNA from 10 species
AAUGCGCAUGCGCGAGGAGCGAGCCGCUUCUCCCCAUCACAGCGAUUCCCAGGGUUGUCAUAGAAACCACUCCCUGGGGCUUGGCAAAGCAGGAGCCCUCCGUGGCAGGGCUUCGGUGUCGGGGCUCCGAGGCUCCGGCCUGACUUCUCCACGGGGUCCACAGGAGCGUCUCCGGAUGCCAGGACCUGAAAUGGGCCGACCAGGAUGAGGAAACCACAGGCAGAGGCCGGGGAAGCAGCGCGGCAUCCCAUCCUCAGGCCUGCCCGGACGGUGUUCGGGAUCAAGAGGACCACACUCCAGCCCAGGACAAAAGCCCCACGGUAGCACAUUGUCCGGCAGGAGAGGAGCAGACCCACGUCCAAGAAGAUGGUUGUACCUUUCCACGCCUCUUCUCUGCGAAAUGAAGCCACACCAUGACACAAUCUUGAAGAGGAAGCCGGGAAUGGGAGACGGCAACAAUCCCUGUCCCUGGAACGCUGGCCUCUAUGGACAAGCCACCCGCUUCGCACCCCUCCCCUUAUGCCCGUGGCGGUGGCACGGCGCCGUAUCCUGCCUGGGCUCUGGCCUCUGCUCUGUCCUCCCUCUUCCACUGUCUCCCCUGUUUCUCAGCGGCCUAGAUGCCUCUUGGUCUGGCUGAAUAUCUUCUAUGAAGAUCACUUCCCCGUCCAUCAGGGAGACAAUUCCUGGAGAUUCGUGUCAUGACUGUUUCUCUCUCCAAACCUGUUUCUGCUGGAUUGCGCAGGUCUGAUGACCCUGGAGCUCUUGGCUUCCAUACGUGUCUCAGACAGCAUACUCUUCCCCUUUAAAUAUUGAAGCCUCAGCAUCGUCUUUGGAGAAAGGCACAGACCACAGAUUGUUUAUAUGAUUCUGUGUUUUUUCCUUCCAACUUGUCCUUAAUCUUGGCAAAAUAAACUUCUAAAUUGA